rnacentral:RNase_P_RNA from 1 species
UAAGUAAAACAGACGGUCGCGGCUGCGGCUGCCCUCCAGGGCGGCCGGCAGGUGAGGAAAGUCCGGGCUUCACAGGGCAGGAUGCCGGAUAACGUCCGGUGGAGGCGACUCCAAGGCCAGUGCAACAGAAAUAUACCGCCAGGUUUCGGUUUACCGACGCCUUGGUAAGGGUGGAAAGGCAGUUUAAGAGACUACCGUCCGGCUGGUAACAGCCGGAGCCAUGUAAACCCCAUCCGAAGCAAGACCAAACAGAAAGCGACAGGCUUGCCCGGCCUGCUUUCAGGUAGGUCGCUUGACGCGGCUGGCAACAGCCGUGCUAGAUAGAUGACCGUUCAACGACAUAACCCGGCUUAUCGUUUUGCUUACGUU